rnacentral:lncRNA from 1 species
CUGCAGUUACAAAGCUGGGUGCAAUUGGGUUUUUACAUUUUCCUUUUGACCUAUUCCUUUAUGAAUAUGGUUCAUCUGCUCGCAACUGUUAUAUCCAUGUGACUGUCUUUAGCACUCGAAUAUUUAUGCUUGCAAAAAUAUAUAUGUUAUUAUUGACUAUUUUACUGUUUAAAGUGGUGUAUAAAGUAUUGUCAUGUUUUAUAUUUUUCUCAAAUAAAUCCCCCUUCAAAAAUGUAAAUGAACAUCUUUUAUUUGAUAUUUCAGGAUUCCAAUAUUUGGGAUUAUGGAGUUUGGAGUGAUAUCUUCCAGGAUUAUGGCCCAAACUUGGUGUAAAGGGAUUGAGAGAGUAACAUCCCGGAAACUGCUAGGGGGCCCUGUCUGUCUUCCCUUGUCUUCCUGAGACAGAACAUGGUUCAGGCUCUUAACCGUUCAGUCUUCCAAAUCGACGUGGAUGCCCCAAGUUCUUCACCUUCUGGCUCCCAGGGAGUUUUAAUGGUGGUCCUUAAAGGAUGCGUGCAGGAAAGGAUUUCAGCUAAGCAUUCCAUUGAACCCCGACCUGCCUGGUAAAUGGGGCAAAUCAUCUGGGAAGGAGACCCAUCCUUCAAUUCCUGAACACAUAGCCAUUGCUACCUGGAAGAGAUGGCUCUGAGAAUUUUAAUUAGGCAUGAGGUAGAGCGAGAUCAAUAGCUUGUACCUUCUCUUGGAGGAUGAUGCUGGGGAAACAAGGCUCUGCAAUAACUGGUCAGUUUCCAGAGAAGUGCUCAGUGCCAUGAGGACAGAUGUGGAAGUGCUGAUGUGAUAUAGUUCGGUGGACAC